CGAUUUAAACCUCUCUGAAAGACCUGAGCACCUGUUCCUUGGCACGAGCUGAGGACCAGACUAUUGCCCUACCACAGCUGAGGGCUGCCAUCUGGAACAGGGAUCAGUGCACCCUUUCCUGAAAACUCUUCAGCUGUACAUCACUACUGCUCACCUCUGUCCUAGAGGUCUGGAAGCAGCUGUAGAUACUCCACGCAGGAAUGAGCAUGGCCAGGUUCUAACAAAACUUUAAGGACACAAAAAUUAAUUUCAUGUAUUUUUAGCUUGUCAUAAAAUAUUUUUAUUUUUUAAAAUGUGUGUUUAUGGGUAUAAGAAUCUAGCAACCAUUCAUAUUUGUCCUUGGGGCUGUAGUUUCCCUAGCUGAUUUUCAACUGAUUCUGAGAUGACAUCCAAUGUCUCUUGGUGUUUCCACAGCAAGUGUUCAGCCAAUACUAAACAGCAGUGCCCUGUAACAUGGUCAGCAAGGUGGGUUGUGACUGUUCUACUGUAUGCUACCUGUUUGCAGAGAGUUGAUUCUCCUGCAUUUCUGGGCUGGAGGAGGAACUACUGUUGAGGGAACAUUGGUUUCAUGCUGCAUAAAUACAUACACACUGAGGCUCAAACUCAGGGUGUUGCUCACACUAACACCGUCACUGAGCUUCUUCUCCAGCCUUGGGUCUACAUCUUUACAGAAACAGUUCCUUGGCCAUGCAGUCCUAGGGUACGGAAGUGUUCUGACUUUAUGUCCUGGAGUUGAGAGGCCUUCAAGGGUGGCACUGGCUGUGCCUGGCCUGGAAAAAUUAUUCGCAGACUCCACAGUGGAAGGAAAGAUACUUGUGAGCAGUGGGAAUGCACUGAGGAGUAGUCAGGCUUUUGGCUGAAGCUGCUUAGCUGUGUGACCUCGCAAUGGAAGAAGAGGAGCCUGGCUUGUCUCCCGCUUAACAACCCCCUUCCAUUUGUUAGGUUAAGGACUGGACCCUGAGCCUCAUGGAUGCUAGGAUGUGGUGUACUCCCCAGCCCUCUCUUAACCGUUUCUGUGGAUCUUGUACCUCCUUCCUUCUCCUAAUUGGUUUACACAGAAAUGCAUAUAAGAUUUUUUCCCCAAUAAGUUUUUCCAUUACUAACUUUAAAGUGGGUAUAGGCAACUGUAUCCUUCCUCAGACACGCUUCUAUAUAAAUAAAAG
rnacentral:lncRNA from 1 species